rnacentral:misc_RNA from 1 species
UUCUUUAUCCGCAUUAAAUAUUGAUUACCAUGAGGCUGGAAGAGAUGUCGAUGAUCUGUGCAUGCUAUAAGAAAUUUACGAUGAUCAAAGAUGCAGCCAUUAGCUCGAGCACAAGGCAAGUGAUAAGUUUUUGGACAUCGAUCAACACGACAUCCGAUAGUUGCGCCUGGUCUUCCACAGCGUGUGCAUUUUAAUGCUCUUCCUCUGCAAAGUGCAGCCCUUACAUUUUUUAAGCGACCUAAACCAGCAAAAUAAACCUCUGGACUCCAUACAGCACAGUGUUGAUGAACCCAAAUUCCAGCAAUACCAUAUCGGUCAUUUAUAGGACCCAAUAGGCGUCCAAGCCACCCUGGUUCAUCACCGAAUCCAUCCCAGACAUCAUAGUUGGGCUCCUCUGACGCUGAUGAGCC